rnacentral:rRNA from 1 species
AGAGUUUGAUCCUGGCUCAGAACGUACGCUGGCGGCACGCCUAACACAUGCAAGUCGAACGAAGUAGCAAUACUUAGUGGCAGACGGGUGAGUAACAUGUGGGUAUCUAUCCUUUGGCCUGGAAUAACACGAGGAAACUUGUGCUAAUACCGGAUAAGUCUUUACGGAGAAAGCUUUAUGCACCAUUGGAUGAGCCCGCACUUGAUUAGUUUGUUGGUAGGGUAAUGGCCUACCAAGACUAUGAUCAAUAGCUGAUUUGAGAGGACGAUCAGCCACAUUGGGACUGAGACACGGCCCAAACUCCUACGGGAGGCAGCAGUGGGGAAUCUUGCACAAUGGAGGAAACUCUGAUGCAGCGAUGCCGCGUGAGUGAAGAAGGCCUUUGGGUUGUAAAGCUCUUUCGUCGGGGAAGAAAAUGACUGUACCCGAAUAAGAAGGUCCGGCUAACUUCGUGCCAGCAGCCGCGGUAAUACGAAGGGACCUAGCGUAGUUCGGAAUUACUGGGCUUAAAGAGUUCGUAGGUGGUUGAAAAAGUUGGUGGUGAAAUCCCAGAGCUUAACUCUGGAACUGCCAUCAAAACUUUUCAGCUAGAGUAUGAUAGAGGAAAGCAGAAUUUCUAGUGUAGAGGUGAAAUUCGUAGAUAUUAGAAAGAAUACCAAUUGCGAAGGCAGCUUUCUGGAUCAUUACUGACACUGAGGAACGAAAGCAUGGGUAGCGAAGAGGAUUAGAUACCCUCGUAGUCCAUGCCGUAAACGAUGUGUGUUAGACGUUGGAAAUUUAUUUUCAGUGUCGCAGGAAACCGAUAAACACACCGCCUGGGGAGUACGACCGCAAGGUUAAAACUCAAUGAAUUG